rnacentral:lncRNA from 1 species
CUUCAUCAAAGGUCUACUUAAUUUAUUUAGCAAUUUAUCCCAGUUUGAUCUGGAUCUCAGCCAUUUAGAGUUGUGAUAAAAAAUUUAAGGUGUUGAACUCAUUUUCAUGUACUGCCUGAAGUCUGGAUUAGUAUUUCUGGUUGUUUUCAUGUUGUGCUCAUAGAUGGCCGUGAUGUCAGUUUUUCCAUGAUCAUAAUUUUUUAGGUCAUCCCAGACAUAAAGAAAUCAUUUGCUGGGUCACAAGUGGUUGCGGACACACAUUCAAAACUCUUGAAAAAAAACCCAAAACACUCCACCAGAGAGAUUAUUGUAAGGAAAUUCUCUGGGCCAGAGCCGGAAACAGGCUUUAUUGGAGGAAAACCUGCCGGGUGGUACUCUCAGAUCCAGUACUCUAAACCUGAAAGUGGACAUGCAUUGUUAAGCUUUGCUCUCCUUCUGCUUGCCUGA